rnacentral:rRNA from 1 species
ACUCAAAUGAAUAGACGGGGGCCCGCACAAGCAGUGGAUUAUGUGGUUUAAUUCGAAGCAACGCGAAGAACCUUACCAGGUCUUGACAUCCCAUGCAUAUCCUAGAGAUAGGAGAAGCCCUUCGGGGCAUGGAGACAGGUGGUGCAUGGUUGUCGUCAGCUCGUGUCGUGAGAUGUUGGGUUAAGUCCCGCAACGAGCGCAACCCCUACGAUUAGUUGCUACGCAAGAGCACUCUAAUGGGACUGCCGUUGACAAAACGGAGGAAGGUGGGGACGACGUCAAAUCAUCAUGCCCCUUAUGACCUGGGCUACACACGUAAUACAAUGGCGCUAUAACAGAGGGAAGCGAUCCCGCGAGGAGGAGCGAAACCCCAAAAAGCGUCUCAGUUCGGAUCGUAGGCUGCAACCCGCCUGCGUGAAGUCGGAAUUGCUAGUAAUCGUGGAUCAGCAUGCCACGGUGAAUACGUUCCCGGGCCUUGUACACACCGCCCGU